rnacentral:rRNA from 1 species
AGUCGAGCGGGCCCUUCGGGGUCAGCGGCAGACGGGUGAGUAACGCGUGGGAACGUGCCCUUCGGUUCGGAAUAACUCAGGGAAACUUGAGCUAAUACCGGAUACGCCCAUGGCCUCUGGCCCUGGGGAAAGGUUUAUCUGCCGAAGGAUCGGCCCGCGUCUGAUUAGCUAGUUGGUGAGGUUAUGGCUCACCAAGGCGACGAUCAGUAGCUGGUCUGAGAGGAUGAUCAGCCACACUGGGACUGAGACACGGCCCAGACUCCUACGGGAGGCAGCAGUGGGGAAUAUUGGACAAUGGGGGCAACCCUGAUCCAGCCAUGCCGCGUGAGUGAUGACGGCCUUAGGGUUGUAAAGCUCUUUUCUCCGGGACGAUAAUGACGGUACCGGAGGAAUAAGCCCCGGCUAACUUCGUGCCAGCAGCCGCGGUAAUACGAAGGGGGCUAGCGUUGCUCGGAAUCACUGGGCGUAAAGGGCGCGUAGGCGGCUGAUUUAGUCGAGGGUGAAAGCCCGUGGCUCAACCACGGAAUGGCCUUCGAUACUGAUUGGCUUGAGACCGGAAGAGGACAGCGGAACUGCGAGUGUAGAGGUGAAAUUCGUAGAUAUUCGCAAGAACACCAGUGGCGAAGG